rnacentral:rRNA from 1 species
CAGCAGCCACGGUAAUACGGAGGGUGCAAGCGUUAAUCGGAAUUACUGGGCGUAAAGCGUGCGUAGGCGGUUCGUUAAGUCUGUUGUGAAAGCCCCGGGCUCAACCUGGGAAUGGCAAUGGAUACUGGCGAGCUAGAGUGUGUCAGAGGAUGGUGGAAUUCCCGGUGUAGUGGUGAAAUGCGUAGAGAUCGGGAGGAACAUCAGUGGCGAAGGCGGCCAUCUGGGACAACACUGACGCUGAGGCACGAAAGCGUGGGGAGCAAACAGGAUUAGAUACCCCCGUAGUCCCUGUCUCUUAUAC